AACCUAGCACACCUGCGGUGUGUACCUGCGGAGGGAUCAUUAUCAAAUAGGCCGGAGGGCAACCUCCAGCGUCUAUAUCCUCUGAUUAAUUUACCUUUGUUGCUUUGGCGGACCGGGAUUCGUCCCCGGCGGUCAGACGCCUGUCUGCCUGUCGAGCGUCCGCCAGAGACCCAACCAAACCCUUUUAAAUAAUGUGAUAGUCUGCACAAAAAACAAAUAAAGCAAAACUUUCAACAACGG
rnacentral:misc_RNA from 1 species